rnacentral:rRNA from 1 species
UGAGGAAUAUUGGUCAAUGGGCGCGAGCCUGAACCAGCCAAGUAGCGUGAAGGAUGAAGGUCCUAUGGAUUGUAAACUUCUUUUAUAGCAGAAUAAAGUGACUCACGUGUGGGUUUUUGUAUGUAUGCUAUGAAUAAGGAUCGGCUAACUCCGUGCCAGCAGCCGCGGUAAUACGGAGGAUCCGAGCGUUAUCCGGAUUUAUUGGGUUUAAAGGGUGCGUAGGCGGAAAGAUAAGUCAGCCUGUGAAAGUUUGCGGCUCAACCGUAAAAUUGCAGAUGAUACUGUUUUUCUUGAGUGUACAUAAGGUAGGCGGAAUUCGUGGUGUAGCGGUGAAAUGCUUAGAUAUCACGAAGAACUCCGAUUGCGAAGGCAGCUUACCGGGGUACAACUGACGCUGAUGCACGAAAGUGUGGGUAUCAAACA